UCUUCUUCUUCUUCCCUUUUCCUCUUUCUUUGUUUCUUUGCAUACAAAAUUCUUCUUCCUCUUUCUAAUUUUCUGCUCAUAAUUGCUCUGAGAAAAACAAAACAAUGAAAAAAAAAAGAUCAAAUGGGUUAUGGCAAGAACUAGGCUUCCUAAGUGGUUUCUUAUAAGUUAUUGUUAGUGAUCAAAGUGAUAUGUUGGUCCUGUUGGAUGUUAGUUGUGGGAAUUACAUCAAUGAUUUGCCCUAAGGAAUUUGAUUUAAAUCUCAUAUCAGUGUUAAAUCAAAUUCAUUGUUUACACUCGCUUUAUACGCGUGUAUUUCAUACAUUUUGUCCAACUCAGCUGAUUUAAUGCCACAUAAGCUUGGUCAAUGGUUAUAAACGGUUAUUAUAUACGGUUUGAAGGAGUGUAAGUGUUCAAUUGGCAAAUUGUUAAGUUUGAGGACCUGCAUGACAAAGUGUCACAAGUAUAGGUGCCAUUUAGGCCAUUUUGCCUAGGGGUGGGCAUAAAAUCCGAAAAACCGAAUUCCGAAUCGAACCGAAUUAAUUUGGUAUUUCGAUUUUUCAGUAUUUCGGUUUAUUUCGGUACAUAAAUUACGGUAUUUCGGUAAUUCAGUACAGUAUAUGGUAUUGGAUUAUUGAUAUUUCGGUAUUUCGGUAUAGUUUAAUGAAGUGAGAUCAAAAGCAAAUCUCACUACUGUCAACUUGUUUCUAAAAUUUCUCGGACUUCUCAGAGUUUGUAAUUUGAGAUUAAACACUACACACCAGAGUUUCUCGAGCCUUUUAGGAAUAUCAAUAGCUCUAAUGUCAUUUGUUGAGCAUAAAAGCUGUGCGACAAAAAACCUGAAGGCAUAUGCAUGUCUUAAAGUAUUCUCAAGCUUGUCUCUCAGUCAUUUAAACAUGAGAGAGGAAGUAGAAUAAGUUAAACUUGUCACGGGAAGUUUUCAAGUUAAUAUUUUCAUUUAUUUGAGAAAGUCUCUCUAUUUCGGUUCAAGCUUUCAUUUGAGAAUGUGAACCCCCCAGAGGAGAAAUGCAUCCGGAAAGCAGAAUUGGCAACUAGAAAAGGAGGCUGGUUUACCAUCAUUGUAAUUUUCGGACCUCAAAAUACAUAGUGGUGUAGUAGAACGAUCACUUUUUCAGCAUUGGCCUUAAUACAAA